UAGGGAAUCUUCCGCAAUGGACGAAAGUCUGACGGAGCAACGCCGCGUGAGUGAAGAAGGAUUUCGGUUCGUAAAACUCUGUUGUUAGGGAAGAAAAAAUGUAUAGUAACUAUAUACAAAAGAGACGGUACCUAACCAGAAAGCCACGGCUAACUACGUGCCAGCAGCCGCGGUAAUACGUAGGUGGCAAGCGUUGUCCGGAAUUAUUGGGCGUAAAGCGCGCGCAGGUGGUUUAGAAAGUCUGAUGUGAAAGCCCACGGCUCAACCGUGGAGGGUCAUUGGAAACUAAUAAACUUGAGUGCAGGAGAGAAAAGUGGAAUUCCUAGUGUAGCGGUGAAAUGCGUAGAGAUUAGGAGGAACACCGGUGGCGAAAGCGGCUUUUUGGCCAUAUACUGACGCUGAGGUACGAAAGCGUGGGUAGCAAACAGG
rnacentral:rRNA from 1 species